AGCAUAUCAAUAAGCGGAGGAAAAGAAACCAACAGGGAUUGCCCCAGUAACGGCGAGUGAAGCGGCAACAGCUCAAAUUUGAAAUCUGGCCUCGGCCCGAGUUGUAAUUUGCAGAGGAUGUUUCUGGCGCGGUGCCUUCUGAGUUCCCUGGAACGGGACGCCAUAGAGGGUGAGAGCCCCGUACGGUUGGACGCCUAGCCUGUGUGAAACUCCUUCGACGAGUCGAGUAGUUUGGGAAUGCUGCUCAAAAUGGGAGGUAUAUCUCUUCUAAAGCUAAAUAUUGGCCAGAGACCGAUAGCGCACAAGUAGAGUGAUCGAAAGAUGAAAAGCACCUUGAAAAGGGGGUUAAACAGCACGUGAAAUUGUUGAAAGGGAAGCGCCCAUGACCAGACUUGUGCCCGGCGGAUCACCCAGCGUUCUCGCUGGGGCACUCCGCCGGGUCCAGGCCAGCAUCGGUUUUCGCCGGGGGAUAAAGGCUCUGGGAACGUAGCUCCUCCGGGAGUGUUAUAGCCCUCUGCGUAAUACCCUGGCGGGGACCGAGGUACGCGCUCCGCAAGGAUGCUGGCGUAAUGGUCAUCAGCGACCCGUCUUGAAACACGGAUCAAGGAGUCGUCCAUUAGAGCGAGCGUUUGGGUGUCAAACCCGCACGCGUAAUGAAAGUGAACGUAGGUGAGAGCUUCGGCGCAUCAUCGACCGAUCCUGAUGUCCUCGGAUGGAUUUGAGUAUGAGUUUUACUGGACGGACCCGAAAGAUGGUGAACUAUGCCUGAAUAGGGUGAAGCCAGAGGAAACUCUGGUGGAGGCUCGCAGCGGUUCUGACGUGCAAAUCGAUCGUCAAAUUUGGGCAUGGGGGCGAAAGACUAAUCGAACCAUCUAGUAGCUGGUUACCGCCGAAGU
rnacentral:rRNA from 1 species